rnacentral:rRNA from 1 species
UACGUAGGGGGCGAGCGUUGUCCGGAUUUAUUGGGCGUAAAGAGCGUGUAGGCGGCCAGGUAGGUCCGUUGUGAAAACUCGAGGCUCAACCUCGAGACGUCGAUGGAAACCAUCUGGCUAGAGUCCGGAAGAGGAGAGUGGAAUUCCUGGUGUAGCGGUGAAAUGCGCAGAUAUCAGGAAGAACACCUAUGGCGAAGGCAGCUCGCUGGGACGUGACUGACGCUGAGACGCGAAAGCGUGGGGAGCAAACAGG